CGUCCGAACACCGAAGUUAAGCAACGUUGAGCUUGGUCAGUUUCUAGAUGGGUGAUCGCUUGGGAAUAUCAGGUGCUGUAA